rnacentral:rRNA from 1 species
GAUAAACGCUGGCGGCGUGCUUCAGGCAUGCAAGUCGAACGGACCUUCGGGUCAGUGGCGGACGGGUGAGUAACACGUAAGUAACCUGCCCAGAAGUGGGGAAUAACUAGCCGAAAGGCUGGCUAAUACCGCAUGUGAUGGUUGUUCCCUGGAGCAAUCAUGAAAGGCGAAAGUCGCUUCUGGAGGGGCUUGCGGCCGAUUAGCUAGUUGGUGGGGUAAUGGCCUACCAAGGCUUCGAUCGGUAGCUGGUCUGAGAGGACGGACAGCCACACGGGGACUGAGGUACGGCCCCGCCUCCUACGGGAGGCAGCAGCUAGGAAUCUUGGGAAUGGGCGAAAGCCUGACCCAGCAACGCCGCGUGGGCGAUGAAGGCCUUCGGGUCGUAAAGCCCUUUUGCAGGGGACGAUGAUGACGGUACCCUGCGAAUAAGCCACGGCUAACUACGUGCCAGCAGCCGCCGUAA